UACGUAGGGAGCAAGCGUUGUCCGGAUUUACUGGGUGUAAAGGGUGCGUAGGCGGGAACACAAGUCAGGCGUGAAAUACCGGGGCUCAACUCCGGGGCUGCGCUUGAAACUGUGUUUCUUGAGUGAAGUAGAGGCAGGCGGAAUUCCUAGUGUAGCGGUGGAAUGCGUAGAUAUUAGGAGGAACACCAGUGGCGAAGGCGGCCUGCUGGGCUUUAACUGACACUGAGGCUCGAAAGCGUGGGGAGCAAACAGG
rnacentral:rRNA from 1 species